AUAAUGCAGUCGAGCGAACUGAUUAGAAGCUUGCUUCUAUGACGUUAGCGGCGGACGGGUGAGUAACACGUGGGCAACCUGCCUGUAAGACUGGGAUAACUUCGGGAAACCGAAGCUAAUACCGGAUAGGAUCUUCUCCUUCAUGGGAGAUGAUUGAAAGAUGGUUUCGGCUAUCACUUACAGAUGGGCCCGCGGUGCAUUAGCUAGUUGGUGAGGUAACGGCUCACCAAGGCAACGAUGCAUAGCCGACCUGAGAGGGUGAUCGGCCACACUGGGACUGAGACACGGCCCAGACUCCUACGGGAGGCAGCAGUAGGGAAUCUUCCGCAAUGGACGAAAGUCUGACGGAGCAACGCCGCGUGAGUGAUGAAGGCUUUCGGGUCGUAAAACUCUGUUGUUAGGGAAGAACAAGUACGAGAGUAACUGCUCGUACCUUGACGGUACCUAACCAGAAAGCCACGGCUAACUACGUGCCAGCAGCCGCGGUAAUACGUAGGUGGCAAGCGUUAUCCGGAAUUAUUGGGCGUAAAGCGCGCGCAGGCGGUUUCUUAAGUCUGAUGUGAAAGCCCACGGCUCAACCGUGGAGGGUCAUUGGAAACUGGGGAACUUGAGUGCAGAAGAGAAAAGCGGAAUUCCACGUGUAGCGGUGAAAUGCGUAGAGAUGUGGAGGAACACCAGUGGCGAAGGCGGCUUUUUGGUCUGUAACUGACGCUGAGGCGCGAAAGCGUGGGGAGC
rnacentral:rRNA from 2 species